CCUACGGGUGGCAGCAGUGGGGAAUAUUGGACAAUGGGCGAAAGCCUGAUCCAGCCAUGCCGCGUGUGUGAAGAAGGCCUUCGGGUUGUAAAGCACUUUCAGUGGGGAAGAAAGCCUUGGGGCUAAUACCCUCGAGGAAGGACAUCACCCACAGAAGAAGCACCGGCUAACUCCGUGCCAGCAGCCGCGGUAAUACGGAGGGUGCGAGCGUUAAUCGGAAUUACUGGGCGUAAAGCGCGCGUAGGCGGUCUGAUAAGCCGGUUGGGAAAGCCCCGGGCUCAACCUGGGAACGGCAUCCGGAACUGUCAGGCUAGAGUGCAGGAGAGGAAGGUAGAAUUCCCGGUGUAGCGGUGAAAUGCGUAGAGAUCGGGAAGAAUACCAGUGGCGAAGGCGGCCUUCUGGACUGACACUGACGCUGAGGUGCGAAAGCGUGGGUAGCAAACAGGAUUAGAUACCCCAGUAGUC
rnacentral:rRNA from 1 species